rnacentral:rRNA from 1 species
UUCGCCUGUUUUAUCAAAAACAUCGCCGCGGCUUUCCGCGGUAAAAUCUGCCCGGUGGUUCUCUAAACGGCCGCAGUAUCCUAACUGUGCUAAGGUAGCGUAAUCAUUAGCUCUUUAAUUGAGAGCCUGUAUAAACGAUCCGACGAAAAUUCCCCUCUCUCCGAGACGCUUUCAACUUACUUAGUGAGUCAAAAAGCUCACUUUCCCCUAAAGGGCGACAAGACCCUACAAAACUUGACUCCCGAAGAAYCUCGCUUAGAAAUUUAACUUCACUUCCGGCGUAGUUUUACUGGGGCGGUACUUCUCACUUYAAACGAAAAUCACGCCAACACUUUGAGUGACUCUCACGAACCCCUCUAAUCAAGAACAAGUUACUUUAGGGAUAACAGCGCAAUGGGGGUUUAGAGCCCUUAUCGACACCCCCGCUUACGACCUCGAUGUUGAAUUGAACCCCCUUUUCGUAGAGCAGAAACUACCCAAGGAAGUCUGUUCGACUUUUAAACCUUCACAUGAUCUGAGUUCCAAACCGGA